AGCAGCCGCGGUAAUUCCAGCUCCAAUAGCGUAUAUUAAAGUUGUUGCAGUUAAAAAGCUCGUAGUUGAAUUUCGGGGUCUGUCCGUCGGUCGGGCUUUACGGUCCGUACUGGUGCGAUAGGUUCCUACCUUCUGAAUAACCUUCAUGCCAUUAAUUUGGUGCGUUGGGGAAGCAGAGCUAUUACCUUGAAAAAAUUAGAGUGCUUAAAGCAGGCUAGUGCUUGAAUAGAUUAGCAUGGAAUAAUAAAAUAGGACGGCAUGGUUCUAUUUUGUUGGUUUCUAGGAUCACCGUAAUGAUUAAUAGGGAUAGUUGGGGGCAUUAGUAUUCAAUUGUCAGAGGUGAAAUUCUUGGAUUUAUUGAAGACUGACUUCUGCGAAAGCAUUUGCCAAGGAUGUUUUCAUUAAUCAAGAACGAAAGUUAGGGGAUCGAAGACGAUCAGAUACCGUCGUAGUCUUAACCAUAAACUAUGCCGACUAGGGAUCGGACGAUGUUAAUUUUUU
rnacentral:rRNA from 1 species